UUGGAUCCCUCCCUCCACUGAGAGCAGGAGACCAUGACCAAUAUGGUUACAACCUGGAUACUUUCUAGCCAAGGAGGGGCACCAGGAAGGAAAAAAGCGAGGAUCAAUACCAAUGAGAAGUUCACUUCCUCCAUCCUGGGGAAAAAGGCAACAAUUGUCCACUAACCAAUCCUUUCUUUGUGCAGCCUGUUCUCCAGCAAGCAAUCGGGGCUCAUGGUGGAUCCGUUCCCAGCGAGUUCUCCUCCGCUCCUAUGCGGAGCUUGGGAGUAGCACUGUGCAUACAAGCAAAACCGCCAGGAGUUUGAACAAACUUGCCUCAAACUAUUUAUGGGGCAUCUGGAAAUGCUUUGUCAUCCCACUAUCUGUCUGAGCAGGGCUGUUUGGACCUGGAGGAGCAAUUUAGAUAAAUACGGAAUCCAGACAAAGGAGGCUCUUCAAGUCAGAUGCAGCAGGAAGACCUGUGCCUCCUGGAUCAUAGCCUACCACUCCCUGAAGUCCUGGGGGUUUCCUUUUCAGUUUCCAUCCGAGGGCAAGCCAUGUAUACCUUAUCGGAUUAAACACAGAACUGCAAACACUGGAAAGAAUACAGACUCUUUACAACUUGUUGCCCUGGUUCCAAAUAUUUCUACUUAUCUGAGGACUGCAGCAUUUCUUAUGCCUGAGAGUAGAAGUGUGUAG
rnacentral:lncRNA from 1 species